GGGAGAGAGUAUAUUUGGUUGGACAGCUGCUCAAAUUGAGCCUUUUGUUUACAGGUGGAAAUGAAGCUCCUGUGUUGCCAGAUUUCAAUUUUCAAGAAAAACUUAACAAUUUAUAUUUUUUAUUUGAAGUCUGUCAAUUGUUAAAUGUUGGCCAUGCAUUCAAAUAUCAGGCCAUUUCCUACAGAUGCAUCAUAAAACAAAGAAGAACAGAAAGGCAUGUUCCAGUCUUCCUUGUGUUUUGUGCACAGAAAGACACAGACCAACAAAACCUGUUGCAUUAUAGACCAUCUCAUGACCCAAAGACAAGGAAUGUCUACGUUCUCAUUAAAAUGGCAAAGCACAUGACCACGCUGCACCCAAUAACAUGUUUCAGAGAGUGGCCGUGUGCUUCCCACGUGGCUCAGUGGUAAAGAGCUCAUCUGCCAAUGCAGGAGCUGCAG
rnacentral:lncRNA from 1 species